rnacentral:rRNA from 1 species
UACGUAGGGUGCAAGCGUUGUCCGGAAUUAUUGGGCGUAAAGCGCUCGUAGGCGGUCUGUCGCGUCGAAUGUGAAAACCCGGGGCUCAACCCCGGGCCUGCAUUCGAUACGGGCAGACUAGAGUUCGGUAGGGGAGUCUGGAAUUCCUGGUGUAGCGGUGAAAUGCGCAGAUAUCAGGAGGAACACCGGUGGCGAAGGCGGGUCUCUGGGCCGUAACUGACGCUGAGGAGCGAAAGCGUGGGGAGCGAACAGG